rnacentral:rRNA from 1 species
AUUGAACGCUGGCGGCAUGCCUAACACAUGCAAGUCGAACGGCAGCGCGGGUAGCUUGCUACCUGGCGGCGAGUGGCGGACGGGUGAGUAAUGCAUAGGAAUCUGCCCAGUAGCGGGGGAUAGCCCGGGGAAACCCGGAUUAAUACCGCAUACGCCCUACGAGGGAAAGCGGGGGAUCUUCGGACCUCGCACUAUUGGAUGAGCCUAUGUCUGAUUAGCUUGUUGGUAGGGUAACGGCCUACCAAGGCGACGAUCAGUAGCUGGUCUGAGAGGACGAUCAGCCACACCGGAACUGAGACACGGUCCGGACUCCUACGGGAGGCAGCAGUGGGGAAUAUUGGACAAUGGGGGAAACCCUGAUCCAGCAAUGCCGCGUGUGUGAAGAAGGCCUGCGGGUUGUAAAGCACUUUCAGAAGAGAAGAAAAGCGCAGCGCUAAUACCGUUGUGUCUUGACGUAACCUUCAGAAGAAGCACCGGCUAACUCCGUGCCAGCACG